rnacentral:rRNA from 1 species
CCUACGGGAGGCAGCAGUGGGGAAUCUUGCGCAAUGGGCGAAAGCCUGACGCAGCCAUGCCGCGUGAAUGAUGAAGGUCUUAGGAUUGUAAAAUUCUUUCACCGGGGACGAUAAUGACGGUACCCGGAGAAGAAGCCCCGGCUAACUUCGUGCCAGCAGCCGCGGUAAUACGAAGGGGGCUAGCGUUGCUCGGAAUUACUGGGCGUAAAGGGAGCGUAGGCGGAUAGUUUAGUCAGAGGUGAAAGCCCAGGGCUCAACCUUGGAAUUGCCUUUGAUACUGGCUAUCUUGAGUGUGGGAGAGGUUAGCGGAACUCCGAGUGUAGAGGUGAAAUUCGUAGAUAUUCGGAAGAACACCAGUGGCGAAGGCGGCUAACUGGCCCAUUACUGACGCUGAGGCUCGAAAGCGUGGGGAGCAAACAGGAUUAGAUACCCUGGUAGUCCACGCCGUAAACGAUGAGUGCUAGUUGUCGGCAUGCAUGCAUGUCGGUGACGCAGCUAACGCAUUAAGCACUCCGCCUGGGGAGUACGGUCGCAAGAUUAAAACUCAAAGGAAUUGACGG